rnacentral:RNase_P_RNA from 1 species
AGAGCUCACCAGGUCCGGGGUAACCCGGAUGCUUGGCAACCCCCAUCCGGAGCAAGUCCAAGCAGGGAGGGUUUGAGGGUGCCCACCGAAUUCCCUCCCGGGUAGGACGCUUGAGGAAUGCGGAAACGCAUCUCCCAGAUAGAUGACCACCUAAGACAGAAUCCGGCUUACAGUCCCACUUUCCAG